UACAGAGGGGGCAAGCGUUGUUCGGAAUUACUGGGCGUAAAGGGCUCGUAGGCGGCCAACUAAGUCGGACGUGAAAUCCCUCAGCUUAACUGGGGAACUGCGUCUGAUACUGGAUGGCUUGGAUUUGGGAGAGGGAUGCGGAAUUCCAGGUGUAGCGGUGAAAUGCGUAGAUAUCUGGAGGAACACCGGUGGCGAAGGCGGCAUCCUGGACCAACAUUGAUGCUGAGGAGCGAAAGCCAGGGGAGCAAACGGG
rnacentral:rRNA from 1 species